GACGAACGCUGGCGGCGUGCUUAACACAUGCAAGUCGAGCGGAAAGGCCCUUCGGGGUACUCGAGCGGCGAACGGGUGAGUAACACGUGAGUAACCUGCCCCAGACUUUGGGAUAACCCUCGGAAACGGGGGCUAAUACCGGAUACGACACAGCUUCGCAUGGGGUCUGUGUGGAAAGUUUUUCGGUUUGGGAUGGGCUCGCGGCCUAUCAGCUUGUUGGUGGGGUGAUGGCCUACCAAGGCGACGACGGGUAGCCGGCCUGAGAGGGCGACCGGCCACACUGGGACUGAGACACGGCCCAGACUCCUACGGGAGGCAGCAGUGGGGAAUAUUGCACAAUGGGCGGAAGCCUGAUGCAGCGACGCCGCGUGAGGGAUGACGGCCUUCGGGUUAUAAACCUCUUUCAGCAGGGACGAAGCGUAAGUGACGGUACCUGCAGAAGAAGCGCCGGCCAACUACGUG
rnacentral:rRNA from 1 species